GUUUUUGGUUUGCUUAUACUGCAUGUCGAGCGGACAGAUGGGAGCUUGCUCCCUGAUGUUAGCGGCGGCCGGGUGAGUAACACGUGGGUAACCUGCCUGUAAGACUGGGAUAACUCCGGGAAACCGGGGCUAAUACCGGAUGGUUGUUUGAACCGCAUGGUUCAAACAUAAAAGGUGGCUUCGGCUACCACUUACAGAUGGACCCGCGGCGCAUUAGCUAGUUGGUGAGGUAACGGCUCACCAAGGCAACGAUGCGUAGCCGACCUGAGAGGGUGAUCGGCCACACUGGGACUGAGACACGGCCCAGACUCCUACGGGAGGCAGCAGUAGGGAAUCUUCCGCAAUGGACGAAAGUCUGACGGAGCAACGCCGCGUGAGUGAUGAAGGUUUUCGGAUCGUAAAGCUCUGUUGUUAGGGAAGAACAAGUACCGUUCGAAUAGGGCGGUACCUUGACGGUACCUAACCAGAAAGCCACGGCUAACUACGUGCCAGCAGCCGCGGUAAUACGUAGGUGGCAAGCGUUGUCCGGAAUUAUUGGGCGUAAAGGGCUCGCAGGCGGUUUCUUAAGUCUGAUGUGAAAGCCCCCGGCUCAACCGGGGAGGGUCAUUGGAAACUGGGGAACUUGAGUGCAGAAGAGGAGAGUGGAAUUCCACGUGUAGCGGUGAAAUGCGUAGAGAUGUGGAGGAACACCAGUGGCGAAGGCGACUCUCUGGUCUGUAACUGACGCUGAGGAGCGAAAGCGUGGGGAGCGAACAGGAUUAGAUACCCUGGUAGUCCACGCCGUAAACGAUGAGUGCUAA
rnacentral:rRNA from 1 species